UCGACUAUAGGUGUCCUGCAGAUACUGCCAAGCCAUGCAUAAAUGCCAUAAUGCACCCUCCCAAUACUCUACUAAAAAGAAGCAUAAUCAAGACUACCACUCACUCGGCCACGACCCAAUUAUAACUAACAUCAUGGUUGGGAGUGAGGAAUCACGGGAGUACAAUGCAACUCAAUAUAUCAUGAGAAGGGCUCUACAAGUCUUUAAAAUAGAGAAAAUGAAAUCAAUUUACAAAAGAAGUCAUUUCACAAUUCAGAUCCAAUUUAAUUACUCAUAAAGGAGUAUAAUCAAAGCUACCACUCACAAGUCUUUGAAAUAGAGGAAAUGAAAUCAAUUUACAAAAGAAAUCAUUUCACAAUUCGAAAUUAAUUUGAUUACUCAUCAACCCCUCGUAAUUCCUCUCAAUGUUCCCUCAAAUGCAUGUACAAAAUAAUCAAGCAUAGAGAAUCAAGAUUAUAGAGGAAUCUACUACAACAAUUAAUCGAUAAGCUCAGGUGGAAUCAAGUCACACUUGGCAACAUUCAUGAAAAUGAAUAAGGAAUGUGCUCAUGGUGCAAAGUACAAACUUCCACUCACCUGUCAAUCCAGCACAGCCCUGAUACCCCUCCAAAAAUCUACAGCAGACAGUGGGAAACUUCUUCCUCUUGUUCCCUAGCUUCUUGCCCAACUGUGACAUGCAUUUACAAUACAUUUAGUCUUGUAUCAAGGGCUAUAAUCUACGUGCCAAUUAUAAUAUAGGAGACUUUAAUUGAUUCAACUUCCCCGUUCCCUAAAUCUUUUUUUCUUUCUUUUUUUCUUUUUCUAUUAAUUAACUCACCAUUUAUGUGUAUUAGGGACUUCCUUGCAUGAGUACAAGGUCCCCUUAGCUUAAUCUGGGCUUAAUACCCUAUUAUGGCAUGAAAUCCCCUAUUUUCCCACUCGGAUGAACAGUAACCCGGACCGACAGCCGGUUACUUCAUCCUAGGUUUGAUCCACUUUCCAAACUCCAAAUUUGAUGAAAUUUUUACCUAAC
rnacentral:lncRNA from 1 species